GGGGAUGUACUGGAUUCGCUGUGAGUUAUGAAGGUAUGUAAGCAUGCAGGAGUAGACUCCUUUAAAAACGUCGAGGUUUAAGAACCGCAGAAAAAGAAAACGAUUAUGCAUUCUUAGCAGCUCGUAACAACGGUGCAGCUAACUUUGCUUACGCUUGCUAAUAGAAUAUAAGCGGCCCACCCAAUGUGUUUUCUGUGCAUAUUGGCUUUGGGUUUUAUCCUAGCAGAAUAUAUUUUUAUUGUGCUACUCUAACAAUAAAAAUGAAUCUAAUAGAGUGUAGUCAGUUUUUGGUCGUCUUACUAGCUUAGGGCUGAUGAAAAUUUAUGGUAAGAUAAGCAUGUAGAAAGCUUACUGAAUUAGUUUACAUACAUGGGUUCGAUUCCCAUCAUCUCCACCA
rnacentral:tmRNA from 1 species